GACGAACGCUGGCGGCGUGCUUAACACAUGCAAGUCGAACGGAAAGACCCUGCUUUUGUGGGGUGCUCGAGUGGCGAACGGGUGAGUAACACGUGAGUAACCUGCCCUUGACUUUGGGAUAACUUCAGGAAACUGGGGCUAAUACCGGAUAGGAGCUCCUGUUGCAUGGUGGGGGUUGGAAAGUUUCGGCGGUUGGGGAUGGACUCGCGGCUUAUCAGCUUGUUGGUGGGGUAGUGGCUUACCAAGGCUUUGACGGGUAGCCGGCCUGAGAGGGUGACCGGCCACAUUGGGACUGAGAUACGGCCCAGACUCCUACGGGAGGCAGCAGUGGGGAAUAUUGCACAAUGGGCGGAAGCCUGAUGCAGCAACGCCGCGUGCGGGAUGACGGCCUUCGGGUUGUAAACCGCUUUCGCCUGUGACGAAGCGUGAGUGACGGUAAUGGGUAAAGAAGCACCGGCUAACUACGUG
rnacentral:rRNA from 1 species